UACGAAGGGGGCUAGCGUUGUUCGGAAUUACUGGGCGUAAAGGGCGCGUAGGCGGCCGAUCAAGUCAGAUGUGAAAGUCCUGGGCUUAACCUGGGGACUGCAUUUGAUACUGAUUGGCUUGAAUGCAGGAGAGGAUAGCGGAAUUCCCAGUGUAGAGGUGAAAUCCGUAGAUAUUGGGAGGAACACCGGUGGCGAAGGCGGCUCUCUGGACCGAUACUGACGCUGAGACGCGAAAGCGUGGGUAGCAAACAGG
rnacentral:rRNA from 1 species